rnacentral:rRNA from 1 species
GAUGAACGCUAGCGGCAGGCUUAAUACAUGCAAGUCGUGGGGCAGCAGGACUGUAGCAAUACAGUUGCUGGCGACCGGCAAACGGGUGCGGAACACGUACGCAACUUACCCUGAACUGGGGGAUAGCCCGGGGAAACCCGGAUUAAUACCCCGUAAUAUAAUGGAGUGGCAUCACUUUAUUAUUAAAGCUCCGGCGGUUCGGGAUGGGCGUGCGGCUGAUUAGGUAGUUGGUUGAGGUAACGGCUCACCAAGCCUACGAUCAGUAACUGGUGUGAGAGCACGACCAGUCACACGGGCACUGAGACACGGGCCCGACUCCUACGGGAGGCAGCAGUAAGGAAUAUUGGGCAAUGGAGGCAACUCUGACCCAGCCAUGCCGCGUGGAGGAUGAAGGCCCUCUGGGUUGUAAACUUCUUUUAUAGGGGGCGAAACCUGUGUAUUCUUACGCAGUUGACGGUACCCUAGGAAUAAGCACCGGCUAACUCCGUG